CCAUUGUCGAAGUCAGUGAUAAAUGCACGAAUUCAUCAGCUAGAGAAAAUCUAUCGAUGCCGCAAUUAUACGAAAGUAAAUAGUGAGAAUGGGACCCUCACCAGCUUAGGAUUGAAACUAAUAUGUGUUUUGCUUUUAUAGCGAUAGAAAGGGCGGCAGUGUGAAGCAGCUACGUGGAUGGCCCGAUGUCGUCAGAAAACGUCGUGCGCUACACGAUUUUUUCCACAGAUUGCACCGUAAUGCACUAAGUGGCAAGAAGCACGCUAGAAAAAAUGCCGAUGAUGUAUCAGUGAUAACCAAACCGGUACGAAGUCUCGCUUCGGCCGCCGUCAAUUCGUAUCGAUUGGUGAAUCUCUCUCACUCACAAUGGUUCAUUCGAGUAGGAUACAAGGUAAACAUGGAAUGGAACCAGCUUCAUGAUCGACACUUAAAUUUUAUCUUACAGCUACGACCAUAAACAUUAAAAGCUUCACGGAGGUCUAGAGAAAAUCACGGACAUCCGAGCCGCUGAAUCCCCGCUUCCUAUUAACUUCCGCGAACCAAAGUUUACGUUAUUUUAGUGAAAGUUACUCGCGUUAUUGACGUUUCACCAUAUCUCAACGGUUGGCACGCGUUUGGCGUAUCGAUCUGACCCACUGACGGACAGACUGGUGACCACGGCCUUGUUUUACGAAUUAGUGCAUAAAACGAAGUUCGAUGAAUAGACUAAAAGAGGUUUACGGUGAAGUAAAUAGCCUGUAUGCGCUUCUGGGCGUUGAACCUAAUGCGUCGGGUGAUGAAAUUCGCAAGGCGUACCGACGCCUUGCCCUUAAAUGGCACCCAGACAAAAAUCCCGCUUGUAAACAAGAGGCUGAGCGACAAUUUCGUUUGAUAUCUGGUGCAUACGAGGUGCUCACCGACUCCAAACGCCGAAGAGACUAUGAUAAUAAUCUGGCCGCUCAGUUCAACCAGCCGUUCCGUCAUCAUGCCGAUGUCCCGAAUUAUAUGUAUACCGGCGCUAUGAUGGCCUUUGACGAGCUGUUAUUUCUUCUAAAUCUUUAUCCCCAGCAGACAUUUAUGAGCAACAACAUGGGCUAUUUCACUAGAGGAGCUAUCUUCAAAGACGUCCAAAAAGUGACCACCAUGCAAAACAGUCAAAAGUUCGAGAGAAAGACAGUGAUUGAGAACGGUCGGGAAACUGUUGUCUUCAAACACGACGGUCAUAUUGUAGGGCGGCAUGAACGCAUCCUACCGUUUCAAGCAGCGCAACACUGCAACACCUACUUCUUCGAUUUGUCUCGGCCACAACCACAAGGCAUUAAUACGUUCCAUAUCUAUCCACAACCAUUACACGCCACUUGUGGUCAGCCUGCAGGACCACAAGUGUUCUGCUCGACAUAUGUGCCCCCCCCAGUUACCACGGUACCCGGUGCCCCGCCACCGGCGGCACCACCAUCACCAUCACCACCACCACCGCCGCCGCCGCCGCCGCCGCCACCGCCGCCACCGCCGCCACCGCCGCCGCCGCCGCCGCCACGUUCAACACGGUCACCCCCAGCACCCGCUAUCCACGUGUCUGUUCUACGAACCUGCCCAAUCCCAGACCGUUCCUGCGAUAGUGUCGGAUGCCGGUGAUCAGCCGGAUGAUUCAGGUGAGGACAAGGCCGUAGAAGACGAAGUAAUGCUAAACGAUACUUGUGACGGACGCGGUACUUACACUGAGUACGACCCGGAUGAUGGUUGUGGUGACGAUGAUGAAGGGGGAUGGCCAGUAUAGCAAAUCGGCAUCCCCGUGACGGCACGGUAAGAACGUCUACCGGGAGGCCUAAGUGGAUCGGGGCGAAAAUGAGCGUUAACAUGAGCAUAAAAUGAAUGCAACAAGGUUCAACGAUUACGUGAAAGCGUCUACUCAGCUUUGUUACUGCCGCCCUGCAUACACGCAAAAAUUGAAGCGAGAUGGGUUUGUUAUACAACGAAAUGGAACGUAAUGGUACUGCGACAGCCUUUAAUUGGAUCACACACAUGCGUGCUGCGACUAGAAGUAAUAUUAACAAAUUGCAGGGAAACGAUAAACGAAUGAAAGGACAAUAACGUACGCUUAAAUACGUUUUGGCAAAUAAAUUGAGACUAUUGAAUAAGGCUGCUGAAUUAUACUU